rnacentral:rRNA from 1 species
UACGUAGGUCCCGAGCGUUGUCCGGAUUUAUUGGGCGUAGAGCGAGCGCAGGUGGUUUAUUAAGUCUGGUGUAAAAGGCAGUGGCUCAACCAUUGUAUGCAUUGGAAACUGGUAGACUUGAGUGCAGGAGAGGAGAGUGGAAUUCCAUGCGUAGCGGUGAAAUGCGUAGAUAUAUGGAGGAACACCGGUGGCGAAAGCGGCUCUCUGGCCUGUAACUGACACUGAGGCUCGAAAGCGUGGGGAGCAAACAGG